UGGGGAAUAUUGCACAAUGGGCGCAAGCCUGAUGCAGCCAUGCCGCGUGUAUGAAGAAGGCCUUCGGGUUGUAAAGUACUUUCAGCGGGGAGGAAGGUGUUGAGGCUAAUAACCUCAGCAAUUGACGUUACCCGCAGAAGAAGCACCGGCUAACUCCGUGCCAGCAGCCGCGGUAAUACGGAGGGUGCAAGCGUUAAUCGGAAUUACUGGGCGUAAAGCGCACGCAGGCGGUCUGUCAAGUCGGAUGUGAAAUCCCCGGGCUCAACCUGGGAACUGCAUUCGAAACUGGCAGGCUGGAGUCUUGUAGAGGGGGGUAGAAUUCCAGGUGUAGCGGUGAAAUGCGUAGAGAUCUGGAGGAAUACCGGUGGCGAAGGCGGCCCCCUGGACAAAGACUGACGCUCAGGUGCGAAAGCGUGGGGAGCAAACA
rnacentral:rRNA from 1 species